rfam:Myotis davidii contig178912, whole genome shotgun sequence.
GGCAGUUCUCUUGUGACACUCCCCGAAAUUGGGCUCCCUCCUCUCUGGUUCUGGGUGGCUCACCCGAGAACCGCA